AACGAACGCUGGCGGCAUGCCUAACACAUGCAAGUCGAACGAACCCUUCGGGGUUAGUGGCGCACGGGUGCGUAACACGUGGGAAUCUGCCCUUUGCUUCGGAAUAACAGUUAGAAAUGACUGCUAAUACCGGAUGAUGUCGUAAGACCAAAGAUUUAUCGGCAAAGGAUGAGCCCGCGUAGGAUUAGGUAGUUGGUGGGGUAAAGGCCUACCAAGCCGACGAUCCUUAGCUGGUCUGAGAGGAUGAUCAGCCACACUGGGACUGAGACACGGCCCAGACUCCUACGGGAGGCAGCAGUGGGGAAUAUUGGACAAUGGGCGAAAGCCUGAUCCAGCAAUGCCGCGUGAGUGAUGAAGGCCUCGGUUGUAAGA
rnacentral:rRNA from 1 species